rnacentral:lncRNA from 1 species
GUCCGCACAAAAAUGCCGAAACACAGUUUAUGGUUUCUAAACAUACCAGAGGCAAGAAAACAUUCCACAUUUCUUACUGUGCUAGAACAACCAGACCCUGUUCUGAGCUGUACUUGCCAUAAAUUCAGAGACUCAUUCCAGGUUGUCAUUACAAUCUAAUAUAUAAGAAGCUAAUUUUGCUUAGGUAUUAAUUUUCCUCAUGCAAUUUAUGUUAUUUUAGAGUACACUAGGUACAAAAUUUAUGAGGCAUGCUUACAAUAUAAUAAAUACUGUAAGCAUGAAUUGGCUAAGCUUGUCAUGGUUAAAAAAAACUUACAAAGUUUUCAUUGUUGUGUCCGUUUAUUUUUAAGGGAAGUAAAAGUAAAGAUCUUUUGUAUGAGGCCCAUAGGUAUCAUCAAGCAGAGAGCAAGGUAUGAGCUCAGUUUGGUCCAUCAGGAAUGCAGUCUCAACCCCAGUAUGGUCCUGGCAAAGUCCUCACUGACUUCAGUUCCAUCAGGUUUUAACCCCACAGGGUCAUAUCAUUUUAGGAAAACUGAAAAUCUGGUUUGGUGUCUCUGUUUCCUUCAGACCCACCGGAGUAUCUCCAGCAUCAUCUCUGCUACUCUCACAUGAGUUCCCUUGUUCUUAUCUUCUCCAGUAUUUUGGUCUCUAAGAGCGAGGAGGCUGUUGCUAAGUCUCUGCUUGAUGUGGUGCUUGAUACCAGUUUUUUAAGAUCUCACACUCAGACCCAAGCCAGGAAAAUAAGUUCAAGACAAAGUGGUAACUAGUGGAAGACUAAGGAUUUUCCACUUUUUGAGGAUGAAGGCAUUAUGUAUUGCAUUCUGGACUAUUGACCUGUGGGAAACAGUGAAAGAAAGAAGAGUUUCAGAAGUUGUGAAAAUAAGCCUUAGAGAAGAAAAAACAUAUAACUUAGAGCUACCUGCAGCCACAAGGCCUGAAAGUAAAGAAGAUACAAUAAUACAAUGUAAGCACAUGAAACAAUAGUUGAGUUUUUAGACUUGGCCAAUAUAGACCUUAAGAUUGCAGAAAAAUAUACUUACCAAGAUAGUAGAAAUUUUAAAGCUUAAUAACAGAAUAUUGUGCAUUGUUAAUAGAAAGCAAACAAGCAAACAUUGUUUGAAGAAGGUGUACAUGUCUUUCUAGUGAUUGGAUAGAACAAUUGUCUGUAAGCUUUAGGGAUAUGAUAUUGGCUGAAAAACUUAAAAAAUGUUCUGUAACAAAGAGAUUUUGAGCUGCUCAUGGUAGAGAUGAGCUUCUGCCAUCUCCUCUAUCUGUACCUGAGAGUGGUGCCUGAAAUAAAAGCUCAUGACAUGUCA